GGCACCACAUUUGCUCAGGCCAAUCUACACCCCAUGGCCAUUAAAAGUUAUUCAAAUCAUGACGCUGCACCCCACGGUUUAGGUUCUAGGGGGCGCCAAAGAUAACCCUAAGAUCCACAUAUUUAAAAGUCUUAUAACUUUUUAUUUUUGCCCUCACUGGCCUCCAAGUUUUCUAGGAUGAUGCAAUGUCCAGCCAUCAACACAUUUGUGAAGGAAUUUUUACUCCCCAAAAGAGCGCCCCCCCAUGGCCGGAGAAAAAAGUCCAUUUUUUCUUGUCCCCUAAGGUGAAAAUACACAUUGUUGAGUGUAACACCUGUACGCUUUGGCAAAAUGACACAAAAAUUGACACACACAUGUAUCUCAAUAAGAUCUACGAAAAAGUCAAUGCGCGCGUAUCUGUCAAAUGUACGGUUAAAGGGUUAUUCCGCAUUUUUUGCCGAUCCGCACACAUUGGAAUUUCGCUAACUCCUCCGAAGGCUUUCGUUCCACCGGCACCACAUUUGCUCAGGCCAAUCUACACCCCAUGGCCAUUAAAAGUUAUUCAAAUCAUGAUGCUGCACCCCACGGUUUAGGUUCUAGGGGGCGCCAAAGAUAACCGUAAAAUCCACAUAUUUAAAAGUCUUAUAACUUUUUAUUUUUGUCCCCACUGGCCUCCAAGUUUUCUAGGAUGAUGCAAUGUCCAGCCAUCAACACAUUUGUGAAGGAAUUUUUACUCGCCAAAAGAGCGCCCCCCCAUGGCAGGAGAAAAAAGUCAAUUUUUUCUUGUCCACUAAGGUGAAAAUACACAUUGUUGAGUGCUACGCCUGUAUGUUUUGUCGUAUUGACACAAAAUUUUACAUACACGUGUAUUUCAAUAAGAUCUUCGAAAAAGUCAAUGGCCACGUAUCUGUAAAAUGUACGGUUAAAGGGUUAUUUCGCAUUUUUUGCAGAUUCGCACACAUUGGAAUUUCGCUAAUUCCUCCGAAGGCUUUCGUUCCACCGGCACCACAUUUGCUCAGGCCAAUCUACACCCCAUGGCCAUUAAAAGUUAUUCAAAUCAUGACGCUGCACCCCACGGUUUAGGUUCUAGGGGGCGCCAAAUAUAAC
rnacentral:lncRNA from 1 species